rnacentral:misc_RNA from 1 species
AGGUUUCCGUAGGUGAACCUGCGGAAGGAUCAUUAAAAAAUUGGGCUCCAUUGGUGAGUUCAUUAAUAAUCCCUACCCUUUGUGAAUUUGUUUGUUUGAAUAAUUUUUUUCCAAAAAAAAUUAUUGAAUGUCUUUCCCUGUUUUGGUGGAGCUUGUAAAGUGAAACCAGGCAGGGGAAUGGCAAACAAUAAUUAUUUUUGAAAAAAGACCUUUUUUUAAAAUUAAACUUUUUGUAUUCAUUUGUCUAAAAUUAUUUUUAUAAUAUAAAAACAACUUUUGACAAUGGAUCUCUUGGCUCUCGCAACGAUGAAGAACGCAGCAAAAUGCGAUAAGUAGUGUGAAUUGCAGAAUACGUGAAUCAUCGAAUCUUCGAACGCAUAUUGCACUUUUUUAGUUUACUAAAAAAGUAUGUCUGUUUGAGUAUCAGUAAAAUAUUCUCAUAAAAAACAUUGGUUUUUAUGGUUAUGAGUGUUUUACAACGAUACAAGUUGUUUCACUUUAAAUUUUUUUAAAAUUUGAAUUUUUCUAAUUUUAAAAUAAAAUUGGAUAAAAUUUUCCCGUAAAAAGGAAUAACCUAAACAAUUUUAAAUUUUUGAUUAGAAUUCUUCACAUUCUAAAGGAAAAUUUAACUAAAUAACUUGAUCUCAAAUCAGAUAAGAGUACCCGCUGAACUUAAGCAUAUCAAUAAGCGGAGGAAAAGAAACUAACAAGGAUUCCCUUGGUAACGGCGAGUGAAGCGGGAAGAGCUCAAAUUUGAAAUCUUCAAGGUUUUACCUUGACGAAUUGUAGUUUAAAGAAGUGUUUUCUGUUGAAGUUUUGGUAAAAGUUCUUUGGAAUAGGACAUCAUAGAGGGUGAGAAUCCCGUAUUUGACCAUUAUUUUCAGCUGUGUGAUACACUUUCAAAGAGUCGGAUUGUUUGGGAAUGCAGUCCAAAAUGGGUGGUAAAUUUCAUCUAAAGCUAAAUAUUGGCGAGAGACCGAUAGCGAACAAGUACCGUGAGGGAAAGAUGAAAAGAACUUUGAAAAGAGAGUUAAACAGUACGUGAAAUUGUCAAAAGGGAAGCGUUUGACACCAGUGUUGGUUUCUCGAAAAUCAAUUAAAAAAAGUUGGAUUUUGUGUUGUAUUGACCUUAACAGCUUGCUUCACUCUUUUCCUGCUUUUUUUAAUGCACUUUUCGUUUAACAAGUCAACAUCAGUUUCUUUUGUUGUAAAAGGGUCAUUGGAAGGUGGCUUUCUCUUCGGAGAAAGUGUUUAUAGCCUUUGAUCUCUGCAAUCGGAGAGACUGAGGUCUGCAGCGUAGAUCCUUCGGGGUUAGAUACAUUUGUGCUAAGCUACAGCUUUUCAUAGACAACUUGUUGACUAUGUUUAGUCUUGUAACUUACCCGCUUAUGCUAUUUUACCUACGCUUAGGAUGUUGAA